GCGGGGUGCUGGAUUUGGUGAAGCUUAAGAAGGCCUUUGAAUCUGAUGCCUAUGAGGCGGAGCAGUUGCUACGCAAGGUGGACAUCCAUUCGGUCACUGGCAUUUUGAAGACUUUUCUAAGAGAGCUCCCCGAGGCCCUAUACACGGAUCAGCUAUAUCCACGAUUUUUUGACCCAUUCAGCGCCUUUAGCAACAACAAACAACAACGAGUCCACACGAAUCAACGAGCUUCUCAAAGUUUUUGAGGAGUUGCCACAGGCCAACAAAGCCUCCAUCACUUCGAUAUUAGAUCAUUUAAUAAGAGUCCACGAAAAGGAGGCAGACAACAAGAUCGUGAGCCGUUUACACAGUUACAUAUGGAAAUAUAUAUGUAUCAAAAUUA